rnacentral:misc_RNA from 1 species
AUAAUUUCCCUCUAGACCUAGCUGCUAUCGAAGCUCCAUCUACAAAUGGAUAAGAUCCCAGCCUAGUCUAUAGGAGGUUUUGAAAAGAAAGGAGCAAUAACCAUUUUCUUGUUCUAUCAAGAGGGUGCUAUUGCUCCUUUCUUUUUUUCUUUACUUUUUCUUUAUUAAUUUCCUAGGAUUUUACUGCCAUAGACUUUUUUGUUUACAUUAUAGAAAAAGAAGGAGAGGGUAUUUGCCUAUAUUUAUUCAUGAUUGAGUAUGCGAUUUUUAUUUUCUAUUUAUUUCAAAUUGUAGAAAUAGAACUUGUUCCUCUUGUUGCUAAUGUUACUAUAUCUUUUUUAUUUCAUUUCACAAAAAAUAGAAUUUUGACUUCAUAUUCUUAUUUUUGAAAUAAUAAUCGAAAUAAUAAUAUCAUUGAAAUAAGAAAGAAGAUAAAUAUUCGAACUUGAAUCUUUUGUUUUCGAAUUUAAAUAAUGUAAAAAUGGAAUGUAAGUAGGCGAGGGGGCGGAUGUAGCCAAGUGGAUCAAGGCAGUGGAUUGUGAAUCCACCAUGCGCG